rnacentral:rRNA from 1 species
CUUGGUCAUUUAGAGGAAGUAAAAGUCGUAACAAGGUCUCCGUUGGUGAACCAGCGGAGGGAUCAUUACCGAGUUUACAACUCCCAAACCCCUGUGAACAUACCACUUGUUGCCUCGGCGGAUCAGCCCGCUCCCGGUAAAACGGGACGGCCCGCCAGAGGACCCCUAAACUCUGUUUCUAUAUAUAACUUCUGAGUAAAACCAUAAAUAAAUCAAAACUUUCAACAACGGAUCUCUUGGUUCUGGCAUCGAUGAAGAACGCAGCAAAAUGCGAUAAGUAAUGUGAAUUGCAGAAUUCAGUGAAUCAUCGAAUCUUUGAACGCACAUUGCGCCCGCCAGUAUUCUGGCGGGCAUGCCUGUUCGAGCGUCAUUUCAACCCUCAAGCACAGCUUGGUGUUGGGACUCGCGCUAAUUCGCGUUCCCCAAAUUGAUUGGCGGUCACGUCGAGCUUCCAUAGCGUAGUAGUAAAACCCUCGUUACUGGUAAUCGUCGCGGCCACGCCGUUAAACCCCAACUUCUGAAUGUUGACCUCGGAUCAGGUAGGAAUACCCGCUGAACUUAAGCAUAUCAAUAAGCGGAGGA